rnacentral:tRNA from 1 species
AUCUAUAUAAUAUAUUUAGUAUAUUUGACUUCCAAUCAAAAAGUUUAUUACAAUAAUAUAAAUA